rnacentral:ncRNA from 2 species
AUAUGAUGCUGGGGGAGCCUUAUGGCUGAGAGGGAAUUUCGAUUCCUGACCCUUUGAACCUGAUGUGGUUAGUACCAUCGUAGGGAAGCUAUUUUAUAUUUGU